AGGAAUGUAUAGCGUAUGCUAGUUGCAUUAGCCUUUGGCUAAAUAAAAUUAUAACCUUAAAAAUUAUAAUCUUAUUUUUUAAUGCAAGAUCGACUAUGUUGAAUAAAAUUCUGGAUAGUGUUAUGAUAAUGACAUUUCCUAUCUUUGUGUCUUGACCAAAUCACGUGCCAGCAGUCGCGGUAAUACGUGGAAGACUAGUGUUAUUCAUCUUUAUUUGGUUUAAAGGGUACCUAGACGGUUAAAAAAGUCCUCAUGAAAGGGUACUAGUUAACUAGAGUUUUAUACGAGAAGGGAAGUACUAAAGAGUGGAGAGAUGAAAUUCUGUGAUACCUGAUUUGGAACAGGCAACGGCGAAAGCAACCUUUUAUCUAAAAACUGACGUUGAGGGACGAAGGCUUAGGACACCAACAGGAUUAGAUACCCCAGCAGUCUAAGCAGACAAUGAUGAAUGUCAUAGAUUAGAUAAGCACUUUUUACAUUACAUUAAGGUAAAAAGUCUAUAUUUAGUUUAUAAAUGAAAGUGUAAGCAUUCCACCUCAAGAGUAAUGUGGCAACACAUAAACUGAAAUCAUUAGACCGUUUCUGAAACCAGUAGUGAAGUAUGUUGUUUAAUUUGUCGACCCGCAAAACACCUUACCACAAUUUGAAUAUUUGUAUCAAGAUACAUAUUACAAGCGUUGCACGGCUGUCUUCAGUUAAUGUCGUGAGAUUUUGGUUAGUUCCAUUAAAUUAACGUAAACCCUUGCUUUAGUUUUAUUAUAAAGUAGUUCACCACUAUAUUGGAUAUGAUAAAAGGGAAUAAGACAAGUCAAUCUGGCCUUAAUAUUGUGGGCUAUAGACGUGCCACAUUUGCCUUACAAAAGGAUGCAAAAU
rnacentral:rRNA from 1 species